rnacentral:rRNA from 1 species
GGGGAAUAUUGGACAAUGGGCGCAAGCCUGAUCCAGCCAUGCCGCGUGUGUGAUGAAGGCCUUAGGGUUGUAAAGCACUUUCACCGAUGGAGAUAAUGACGGUAGUCGGAGAAGAAGCCCCGGCUAACUUCGUGCCAGCAGCCGCGGUAAUACGAAGGGGGCUAGCGUUGUUCGGAAUUACUGGGCGUAAAGCGCACGUAGGCGGAUUGGUCAGUUAGGGGUGAAAUCCCAGGGCUCAACCCUGGAACUGCCUUUAAUACUGCCGGUCUUGAGUUCGAGAGAGGUGAGUGGAAUUCCGAGUGUAGAGGUGAAAUUCGUAGAUAUUCGGAGGAACACCAGUGGCGAAGGCGGCUCACUGGCUCGAUACUGACGCUGAGGUGCGAAAGCGUGGGGAGCAAAC